rnacentral:lncRNA from 1 species
UUUUUCUCAAAUUUUCAUCUUUUUCUUUCGUUUUUCUUGGUAUUUAAUCUCAAAACUGACAGAUCUACCAUAUAUAUUCGAUUUCUGGAACUCCAAUGAACAAAAAAGGGAGGUUUUCAAAUUUUCCGACUUUUAAGCCGAUUAUAUCAAAAUCGUUGCGGCUCUCAUCCGCCGAGCGCCUAUCCGCCGCCGAUACGGCCGCCGAGACCGAGUUUUCGAACAGUGAUCACAACUAUGGUACUUAUGAGGAAGACUGAAUCAAGUAUGUUGAAUCAAACCCAGAAUCAUAAACUUAAUUUGUUGAGGUUACUACUAUUAUAUAUAGAUACUAAAGUAGUUUUUUUUUCUUCUUCUUUGUAAAUGAACAACAUUUUGGUAUGAUGAGGUAAAUGAAAAUAGUUUUCUAGCUAAAGUCUUUUCUUCAUUCUUCUCAAGGGUUGGGACUUGGGAACUGAAUACACAAACCCCAAAGGUAUGGACACAAUCAUCAUCUUAAUUUGAUUUCAUCUCUAUGUCUGCAUCCUCCUUAUUAGC